rnacentral:rRNA from 1 species
CACGUAUUUAGCCGGGGCUUCUUGGUCAGGUACCGUCAUUCUCUUCCCUGCUGACAGAGCUUUACAUACCGGAGUACUCCAUCGCUCACGCGGCGUCGCUGCAUCAGGGUUGCCCCCAUUGUGCAAUAUCCCCCACUGCUGCCUCCCGUAGGAGUCUGGGCCGUGUCUCAGUCCCAAUGUGGCCGUCCACCCUCUCAGGCCGGCUACUGAUCGUCGCCUUGGUGGGCCGUUACCCCGCCAACCAGCUAAUCAGACGCGGACCCAUCCCGCACCGCACAAGGCUUUCCGCACCGCCCCAUGUGGGGCUGUGCGCAUAUGCGGUAUUAGCAGCCGUUUCCGGCUGUUGUCCCCCAGUGCGGGGUAGGUUGUCCACGCGUUACUCACCCGUCCGCCACUCAGUCACAGAGGCUUCCUCCCCGGAGGGAUUCCACCUAAGUGCUUCGUUCGACUUGCAUGUGUUAGGCACGCCGCCAGCGUUCAUCCUGAGCCAGGAUCAAA